rnacentral:rRNA from 1 species
GCAACUCGACUCCAUGAAGCUGGAUUCGCUAGUAAUCGCGCAUCAGCCAUGGCGCGGUGAAUACGUUCCCGGGCCUUGUACACACCGCCCGUCAAGCCAUGGGAGUCGGGAGUGCCUGAAGUUCGUGACCGUCACAGGAGCGACCUAAGGCAAGACCGAUGACUGGGGCUAAGUCGUAACAAGGUAAC